rnacentral:rRNA from 1 species
GAUGAACGCUGGCGGCGUGCCUAAUACAUGCAAGUCGAGCGAACACACGAUAAGCUUUCUCCCCUGCCGUUAGCGGCUGACGGGUGAGUAACACAUAGAUAACCUUCCUCUAAUACGUGGGUAACUACGGGAAACCAGUGCUACUACUGCAUAAUAUAUUGAACCGCAUGAUUCAAUAGUUAAAGACACCUUUCCUGUUACAUAUAGAUGAAGCCGCGCCGCAUUAGCUAGUUGGUAAGGUAACGGCUUACCAAGGCGACGAUGCGUAGCCGACCUGAGAGGAUGAUCGGCCACACUGGAACUGAGACACGGUCCAGACUCCUACGGGAGGCAGCAGUGGGGAAUCUUGCACAAUGGGCGAAAGCCUGACGCAGCAACACCGCGUGAGUGAUGAAGGUCUUCGGGUUGUAAAGCUCUUUUGUUGGGAAAGAAAAGAAGUAUGAGAAUCUAUGGCUGUUUUGACGGUACCCAAUCAGAAAGCACCGGCUAACUUCGUG